CAGUCUCUCCUUGACAGAACAAGGAGCAAUGGCCUUAAGUUACAGUGCGGGAGGUCAAGGUUGGAUAUUAGGAAACACUAUUUCACUAGGAGGGUGGUGAAGUACUGGAAUGGGUUACCUCGGGAGGUGGUGGAAUCUCCAUCCUUAGAGGUUUUUAAGGCCCAG